rnacentral:misc_RNA from 1 species
UUAAUUCUAAGCGGACCGAGCUUUUCUUUGUGAGGUCUUGAAAAUUGUAUUUAAAACACCCGCUCGUAAAAAAAUUUAAUUAAAAUUUUUAUAAUUAAAGA